CCGGGGUGGCCGUCAGUCAUCACAGGCCUGUUUGGUCCCAAUAUCCUUGUUUUGCAAAGAGCAGUUCCUGAAAUCUCGCCGACUCGAGCUUUGCUCAUCUUUGAUUGGGGCAUUUUCAGCCGCUGAGGCCAAAAAUAACAAACACAGGCGGUGCCUUGCUGAGCACGGCCCCCGUUCUGGCCCUUUCUGUGUGGCCGGUGGCAGCUGGGUUGCCAGGCUCCAGGCUCGCGGAGUCUGUCUCCAUCCCCGAUGCAUCUGUCCUCAGACCCGGGCGUGCCGACGGGCAUGUCCAGCCCGACCUUCCGGGUUCCUAGACCCGGGUGGGGCUCAGGGACAUGGGCCCCGGAGGGUGCGUGCUGCCCCGUCUGUUUGCCUGUCUGGAAAAUUGCAUUAGGCCGGGUCACAUCUGCAUCACACAGGUACAGCCACGACCAGGGGUUGGAGGGGGCAGGACGCAGCUUCAUGUACUCUCCCCUGUGGCAGCUCCAAGCCUGUGCCCCGUCCCCGGCGCCAGGA
rnacentral:lncRNA from 1 species